UCCCCUCCUCAGUACAAUUGCUGAAUUUGCCCUUAAAGAAGAGCCAGUGGAUGUGGAAAAAAUGAGAAAGUGCCUACUAAAACAGUUGGAGAGAGCAGAGGUUCGCCUGGAAGGGAUAGAUACAAUUUUAAAGCAAGAAUUUCUUACUUCCAUCUGUGCAGUACGUCAUGUUUUGUGGAUGGCAAAGACUUAUUCCUGAGGGAAUCGAUAUAGGGGAACCUCUUACUGAUUGUUUAAAGGAUGUUGAUUUGAUCCCCCCUUUUAAUCGGAUGCUGCUGGAAGUCACCUUUGGCAAGCUGUAUGCUUGGGCUGUUCAG